rnacentral:rRNA from 1 species
ACAAGCGGUGGAGCAUGUGGUUUAAUCGAAGCAACGCGAAGAACCUUACCAGGUCUUGACAUCCCGAUGCUAUUCUAGAGAUAGAAAGUUACUCGGUACAUCGGUGACAGGUGGUGCAUGGUUGUCGUCAGCUCGUGUCGUGAGAUGUCGGGUUAAGUCCCGCAACGAGCGCAACCCCUACUGCCAGUUACUAACAGGUAAUGCUGAGGACUCUGGCGGAACUGCCGGUGACAAACCGGAGGAAGUGGGAUGACGUCAAGUCCUCAUGGCCCUUAUGUCCAGGGCUACACACGUGCUACAAUGGCCGGUACAGAGUGACGCGAAGCCGCGAGGUGGAGCAAAUCGCAGAAAGCCGGCCUUAGUUCGGAUUGGAGUCUGAAACUCGACUCCAUGAAGGUGGAAUCGCUAGUAAUCGCGCAUCAGCAUGGCGCGGUGAAUACGUUCCCGGGCCUU